GAUGAAGAACGUAGCGAAAUGCGAUAAGUAAUGUGAAUUGCAGAAUUCAGUGGAUCAUCGAAUCUUUGAACGCACAUUGCGCCCGCCAGUAUUCUGGCGGGCAUGCCUGUUCGAGCGUCAUUUCAACCAUCAAGCCCCCGGCUUGUGUUGGGGACCUGCGGCUGCCGCAGGCCCUGAAAACCAGUGGCGGGCUCGCUAGUCACUCCGAGCGUAGUAAUACAUCUCGCUCAGGGCGUGCUGCGGGUUCCGGCCGUUAAAAAGCCUUAUUUACCCAAGGUUGACCUCGGAUCAGGUAGGAAGACCCGCUGAACUUAAGCAUAUCAAUAAGCGGAGGA
rnacentral:misc_RNA from 1 species